GGGAUGUCCUGGGCUUUCUGGGCUGGCUUCCUGCCCAGAAACGGCUCUGGUCACUCUGGACACCAGAGCUAGAGGGGGGGAUGGGGACCAGGGGUUGGUAUGGCCAGUCUCUAAUUGCGGGUGCUAUGGAAGGUUCCUGAAAAAGCCAGCAUCUGCUGCCCCGUGGGACCGGCAAGGCUCCACCUGGAAGGGCGGGAGGACCAUUUUCUGACUCUGGCUCUGAGCCUCUGCCCUAGUCUGAGCCCCAAUUUUUACUCCAGUCUGAGCUUGACCUCAUACAGAGCUUGGCCCACAGAUCUGUGGCCUUUAUACUCUAUAGCUUCUGAAGUUAUUAAAGCUUAAAAUGAAGUCUUCUGGGGGCACGAACAUACUGACAUCUGUGAGACCUCGGUGGGCUUCAAUCCCUCAUCUGGAAAGUGGGUAUAACUGCAGUAUCAUGGCACCUGCGCAUCACAAGCCUUCAGAAAAUGCUAGUUGUUAUGACUGUUGUGGCCAUUGUGGGGAGACGCAGUGUGAUAUUAUGCUGUAUUAAAAACCAGUAGCACUUCA